AUUUCUACAGAUGUAUUUAUCGAUACCUAUUCAAACUGCAACCUUAUCUGUUCGCAGGAAGAGUUGUGUUUCCUUCGGCAGGAGCUCCGGGAGUCCCGGGAGCAACUCCGGGAUAAACAACACGAGCUGACACUAGCCCAGCAGCAGCUGUGUCUGAUGCAAGACCAGCCGCCCCCCCGCGCCCGCGCCGCCGCCGCGCAGACCACCUGUCUUAGUACACAUCUCGACGAUACAGAAGCGCUCCUGUCAGACAAGAUCCGCGAGGCCGAGCAGCUCCGCUACCGGUGCCAGGAUCAAGAGGAGGAACUGAGAAGACUGAGGGAAGAGCUGAGUCGCGCGGAGGAGACUGUGCAGCAG